AUCACCAUUACCUUAUCACUGUCAUCACCUCUAUCACCAUCAUCACCAUCAGCACCAUCAUCAUCAUGGAAUAUAUCAAAACACAUCGCACUUGGAUUCGGCCCAGGGAAUAAGAACUCUUUCCUGAGAAACCCAGCUGAUCUGAGGCCAAAGAAAGAAAACUUGUGAAGUCCUGGGGAGAGGAUUCAGACACACAGGUCUCUUGUAUGGCCACUUAGAGAACUUGUCCCUUGCCUUCCCCAUAGAGAAAUUGAAUCUGUAUUACUGGAAACCACCAGUGGCAAUGUGCCUGCACAGCACAGCCUGGAUGUGAUUUUUAAACAUAAUCAUUUUAUUGAAAGAGGCCUCAUAGGUGUCACCAUGGGAAUGCAGAACAAAUACUACAUUCUAUUGGUUGAAACCAAGGUCAAAAUUGACAAAGCCUUCAGUCAUACUUCUGGGCGUAAAGGGGAGCUGAAGAGAAUGGUAUCCCCAAGAGAGUGAUCUGUUGCCCAGCAUGGGGGCAGGAGACAGUGAGGACUCAGCACCCUGAAGGUCUGGUGCACAGGGGUGUGUAUAAUGAUCACCACCACUUCACUCUCAACUCUUUGCUAUUCUUGGGCUUUCCUGGAGGUGAGAUCAUCGUGUCUGUGCAUUGAACUUAUUCUCCCGGAGUGCAUGGUUGGAACCUCACUCCUUCCAUUGUAUGGUACAGCUAGAUGGGUGGAUCUUUAGCUGGUAUAGAGGCCAUGAGGAUAGACCCCUCUGGAAUGAGUGCUCUGAUUGAAGGGACCAGAGGAAGCCUUUGACCUUUUGCUCUUCCUCAAGAAGCAAUGAGAAGCCACCUUUCUAACCCAGGACCCGAACACGUUGGCAUCUUGUUCUCAGCUACCGGGACCAUGAGAAAGGAUAUUUGGUUGUUUAUAGAUC
rnacentral:lncRNA from 1 species